CCAAUUUUAAGAAUAAAUAUAAUAUCCUUAAGCAAAAAAAAAACAAAAUUACUAACAUUGUUAUCCCUAAAACUGCUUCUAAAAAAUUUGAAGCGACAACAUCGGAGCUUAAGCGUCUGAGCCAUACGCGUAGUGUCAUCUGUCAAACGGCUUUUUGUUUAUUUUCGGGAUUCGUGUAUUUUCUUUAAUUUUCUGUUUCAAAAGGAAAAAGGCCACAUUUUAGUGUUUUUUUAAAUUGCUAGGAUGGGAAAAACUUGUGUCGUUUGUGUCGCAUCAUGAUAAAAAGGUGAUUCAAGCCGAUCUUUUCACAAAUUGCCUAAUAUAUGCCCAAAGGGAACAAUGGAUUUCAUUAAUGGAAAUCAACAAAAUUAAACAGAACAUAUUUGUUUGUUCAGAUCACAUCCUUAGAAGUGAUUUCUUAUAUAAGGAAGAUAAUAUUAUCAGUAGCCAGACUUAGACCAAACAGAUUAAAAAAAUCAGCUCUACCUCAAAGGAUUUCUGAUGCACUGGUUAAAAACACAGCAGCUGAUAAUUCAGUUAAUUUACCAAGUGAUUUACCCUUCAAAGCUGCAGGAAUAGCUUUCCUGAAGAGUGCAAAAACUUCUUUAGCUUCCAAAAUGGUAUAUAGUACAAACAGUGAAGCUGAUAUAGACAAAUCUGAUCAUUCAUCAUCAACAAUAACUGCAUCUGAGAUUAAUAGUUCUACAGUAACCGUGGGGUCUAGGUCAACAAUUACUAUUUCUCAUCCAAGCCGUUUUUGUUUAACUGCUACAUAUUCCCUGACUCUGCCAAGGAAAAGGGUAAAAUCAAAAUGAUAUCCUGAGGACCUAAGCACUGAUGAUUCCACCGUUUCAAAAGCUAAAUCACUUGUUACCAAAUUAUGGAAAAAAAAUAAAGAGCAAAAAAUUAAAAUUCGAAGAUUGCAAUAAACAAAUUUGCCCCAAAGAAAUUGAAUUAGAUGUCUCAAGUCAUUAUUAAAAUACUUAAGAAAUAAUAACAUGGUUUUUGA